rnacentral:rRNA from 1 species
GACGAACCGUGCGAACGUUGUUCGGAAUCACUGGGCUUAAAGGGCGCGUAGGCGGCGGGGUAAGUCUGGUGUGAAAUCUCGGAGCUCAACUCCGAAAUUGCACUGGAUACUGCUCUGCUAGAGGGCUGGAGAGGAGAUCGGAAUUCACGGUGUAGCAGUGAAAUGCGUAGAUAUCGUGAGGAAGACCAGUGGCGAAGGCGGGUCUCUGGACAGUUCCUGACACUGAGGCACGAAGGCCAGGGGAGCAAACGGG